GGGCGAAUGGUUUAGUGGUAUAAUACUCCCUUAGCAUGUUCUUUCUUCUGGAAGAUGCGCCUCUGGGAGUGGUCCAGGGUUCGAUUCCCUGUUCGUCCA